rnacentral:ribozyme from 1 species
GGGGCCGGUGGGUUUACUCACUUCUGACCCACCACCAACGGAACGAGGGAAAGCAGAGCUGGGGCCCUCUUCCGAUUGGCAUGGAACCGACCUCCACGUGGUGGCCCUGGGCAACGGAAUUCAAGAGAGGAUUUAAUCCUCUCUAUCAUUUGCAAGAUGGAUGAGAUCGAGGUAUCCGGCAAACAGGUUCCAAGU